CCUACGGGUGGCAGCAGUGAGGAAUAUUGGUCAAUGGUCGGGAGACUGAACCAGCCAAGCCGCGUGAGGGAUGAAGGUACAGAGCAUCGCAGACCUCUUUUGUCAGGGAACAAAGUCCCGGACGCGUCCCCUCCUGAGUGUACCCGAAGAAAAAGCAUCGGCUAACUCCGUGCCAGCAGCCGCGGUAAUACGGAGGAUGCGAGCGUUAUCCGGAUUUAUUGGGUUUAAAGGGUGCGCAGGCGGUCUGUUAAGCCAGCGGUCAAAGCCCGGGGCUCAACCCCGCCGCGCCGUCGAAACUGGGGGUCUCGAGUGGGGGGGAGGUAUGCGGAAUGCGCGGGGUAGCGGUGAAAUGCAUAGAUAUCGCGCAGAACCCCGAUUGCGAAGGCAGCGUGCCGGGUCGACACUGACGCUGAGGCACGAAAGCGUGGGUAUCGAACAGGAUUAGAUACCCGUGUAGUC
rnacentral:rRNA from 1 species